UACGGGAGGCAGCAGUGGGGAAUAUUGGACAAUGGGCGAAAGCCUGAUCCAGCCAUGCCGCGUGUGUGAAGAAGGUCUUCGGAUUGUAAAGCACUUUAAGUUGGGAGGAAGGGCAUUAACCUAAUACGUUAGUGUUUUGACGUUACCGACAGAAUAAGCACCGGCUAACUUCGUGCCAGCAGCCGCGGUAAUACGAAGGGUGCAAGCGUUAAUCGGAAUUACUGGGCGUAAAGCGCGCGUAGGUGGUUUGUUAAGUUGAAUGUGAAAGCCCCGGGCUCAACCUGGGAACUGCAUCCAAAACUGGCAAGCUAGAGUAUGGCAGAGGGUGGUGGAAUUUUCCUGUGUAGCGGUGAAAUGCGUAGAUAUAGGAAGGAACACCAGUGGCGAAGGCGACCACCUGGGCUAAUACUGACACUGAGGUGCGAAAGCGUGGGGAGCGAAACAGGGAUUAGAUACC
rnacentral:rRNA from 1 species